rnacentral:rRNA from 1 species
GACGAACGCUGGCGGCGUGCUUAACACAUGCAAGUCGAACGGAAAGGCCCUGCUUGCAGGGUACUCGAGUGGCGAACGGGUGAGUAACACGUGGGUGAUCUGCCCUGCACUUCGGGAUAAGCCUGGGAAACUGGGUCUAAUACCGGAUAGGAGCCAUUUUUAGUGUGAUGGUUGGAAAGUUUUUUCGGUGUAGGCUGAGCUCGCGGCCUAUCAGCUGGUUGGUGGGGUAUUGGCCUACCAAGGCGGCGACGGGUAGCCGGCCUGAGAGGGUGGACGGCCACAUUGGGACUGAGAUACGGCCCAGACUCCUACGGGAGGCAGCAGUGGGGAAUAUUGCACAAUGGGCGCAAGCCUGAUGCAGCGACGCCGCGUGGGGGAUGACGGCCUUCGGGUUGUAAACUCCUUUCGCUAGGGACGAAGCUUUUUGUGACGGUACCUAGAUAAGAAGCACCGGCUAACUACGUG